UAGUUAUCAAGAAAGGCGGAGGGAUUAGACCCAAUGAAGCCUUAGCAACCCUUUGUUCAUACAAAGAAGGUGCUAAAUUCUACCAAGUACAUCGGUACUAUAGGCAGAUAACGA
rnacentral:ncRNA from 2 species